UGAUGUAAAUGGUUGUACUGGCAUUAAGAGGAGGAGCCGUCGAGACUUGCUUCAAUUGUUUCCUCACUUGAUGUGUUUCCAAGUUCACAGCUAACGUUGAGCUAUCAGCAUCAGGUUUUUGUUGACAGUGGAGCACAAUCCACUUCUUGUUGUCAAGUGGGCACAUUUUCCUCACAUCCAAUUUGGCCUUGGUCUCAAUGGAAAUAACCAGUCAAAGCUUGACGAGACGAUUGCUGUUGUACACAAUGGUGGGCAGAAGUCUCAGAGUUUAUACUGAGAAUACGGAUAUAUACGUAUGCCAAUCAAAUCCAUGCUACUGUAUCAUAUAUAUAUCCUUUAAUUGAAACUUGAAAUUUUCAAGUCGAAAUGCCAAGACAUAGUUCACUUCUACAAGCUUGUAGUAGAAAAGUUUGUAAACAAUUUAUGUAUCUCUCUACUAUUUUGGUGAAUGUAUUAUUUGAAUAUAAAGGGAUUUGAUAUUGGA